rnacentral:rRNA from 1 species
AAGUCGAACGGAUUUUUGUCGUAGCUUGCUAUGAUAACGGUUAGUGGCAGACGGGUGAGUAAUGCAUAGGAAUCUACCUAGUAGUAUGGGAUAGCCACUAGAAAUGGUGGGUAAUACUGUAUAAUCCCUGCGGGGGAAAGAUUUAUCGCUAUUAGAUGAGCCUAUGUUAGAUUAGCUAGUUGGUAGGGUAAAGGCCUACCAAGGCAGUGAUCUAUAGCUGGUCUGAGAGGAUGAUCAGCCACACUGGAACUGAGAUACGGUCCAGACUCCUACGGGAGGCAGCAGUGGGGAAUAUUGGACAAUGGGCGCAAGCCUGAUCCAGCUAUGCCGCGUGAGUGAGGAAGGCCUUAGGGUUGUAAAACUCUUUCAGUGGGGAAGAUAAUGACGGUACCCACAGAAGAAGUCCCGGCAAACUCCGUGCCGGCAGCCGCGGUAAUACGGAGGGGGCAAGCGUUGUUCGGAAUUAUUGGGCGUAAAGGGCAUGUAGGCGGUUCGGUAAGUUAAAG